GACGAACGCUGGCGGCGUGCUUAACACAUGCAAGUCGAACGGAAAGGCCCUGCUUUUGUGGGUUGCUCGAGUGGCGAACGGGUGAGUAACACGUGAGUAACCUGCCCUUGACUUUGGGGUAACUUCAGGGAACUGGGGCUAAUACCGGAUAGGAGCUCCUGCUGCAUGGUGGGGGUUGGAAAGUUUCGGCGGUGGGGGAUGGACUCGCGGCUUAUCAGCUUGUUGGUGGGGUAGUGGCUUACCAAGGCUUUGACGGGUAGCCGGCCUGAGAGGGUUAACGGGCACAUUGGGACUGAGAUACGGAGCAGACUCCUACGGGAGGCAGCAGUGGAGAAUAUUGCACAAUGGGCGGAAGCCUGAGGCAGCAACGCCGCGUGCGGGAUGACGGCCUUCGGGUUGUAAACCGCUUUCGAAUGUGACGAAGCGUGAGUGACGGUAAUGGGUAAAGAAGCACCGGCUAACUACGUG
rnacentral:rRNA from 1 species